AUUGUGUGUAUGCUUGAGUUACUGAGGACAUGCUGAGUACAAAAGUCUGCAUAAGCAUGGUGGAGUUCACAGCAAUGCAACUACUCUGCAGAGAUUCUCCCAGGCACUCGGUGCUCCCUUGGUCAUCCCCAGCUUCAGCAGCCAUUCUUCGGAACGUAUUAGUGAAGAGAGAUUUGUUGCCAUGCUGCAUCACACCAUUUUUUUUUCCUCCAGCUAUUAUAUUACUUGCUAGGCUGUUGAAAAGAAGAAGCAAAAAUACAGCUCAAACUACCAGCAUUCUUUGCCACAAACCUGUAUCAACAGCAGCUUGUCCUGGCCGUUGAGCUCAUCUCUCAAAUCUGUAAAGCCUAACUCUGGCAAAUCUGUUCACAGCAUGUUUAGCUUAAAUCCUUCAAGCAUUACUAUUGUAAAUUAGGAAGUAUUCUGAAGUGCCUCAGUGAUACAUUUAACUGGGGCCUAAAGAAACGAGUAAAUAAGAUAUAAGGCGGAAAAGAAUGUGUCCUUGAUUUGAGUGUUUUCCCUGUUGUUUAGGAUAAUGCAUUUUAUCACUGAAUAAUUUCUGAUCUUUGCAAAACACUAUGGAAAUUGCUUGUUGACACAGUGUCAGAGCUGAGAUGUUUAUGUUUUCCUGGUGCUUUUAAUCUGUCGCAAAUCUUUGGCAACAAUAUCUUUGAGGCUGGGGAAAAUGUGUCUGAAAUUGUAUUGACAUUGCAAAUGGAUUUACAAGCUUGUCCUUUAAAAUCUUCUUUCCCCUUUGUGCUUUACUGCUUACAGUAGAGUGGCAAUAUUCUGGAUAACUUCAGAAAUACGUAUAGUGGUUUGAAUGCAAACUGUGUAUUCUGAGACCAAGUUUCCAUCUCAGCAUCACUGCAACCACCAUUUUUGUAUACUGAGAUAUAGGUGAUGCCAUAUGCUAUGUCUGCUAUUUCAUCUCACUGAGUAACACUGUAGACAAACAGAGAACAACUAAGAGCAUCAACAAAAUCAUUUCAUACUAAAGACAGCAUUUCUGUGAUGCAACACGUGGAGACUGUUCCUACUUUUCAUGUGGAAUUUCACAGUACAGCCAUGCAAUAAGGAAACCACUGGGUCGCCAAAUGACUCACUGCAUCACUUGGUAAUAAACAAAUGCUUGCUUCAUAAAAUGCAUCUUUCUACUAAAUUCCUGCCUUGAGAGUUUUAUGUAGCUGUAAAAAUUUGCUGAAAAAGCUCUGAGAUGUACAGAGUGAUACUAGUUUGAAUUACAGCUUCCCUAUUCAAAUAGCCUUACACUAUUCCUCUGAAAAGUUGCUUUAUCAGAAAUGGGAUCUUUAUUUCACACAGAUGACAUGUGAACACACUGGCUUGGAGGAGAAUAGAUUCCAUAUAGCUUUUCUGGUUAUGAACAUGAUGAGACUGCAAGUAUUUCACUCCUACUACAGACUCAGGGCUCCAGUUUUGCCUGCUACGUGUCCUUUGAUAUGGAUUGAUAAUAAGAAAUAUCUCCACUUCACUGAUUUCUGGUUUUUUUUCUAACUCCUCUCAUAUCUGCUGCUAACCCAUUAGUGAAAGAAAGAAUAUAAAUAAUGAAUGAGCCAUUACAAUGCAGGAUCCUAGUGAAAGACUGCAAGAAACUCAGACUUUUCCAGGGAAGGCUAACAUGAUUCAUACCGUACGCUUGCAUAAUAUUGGCGGCUAUAAGACUUAGGAGGAAUUAUUUUAACAGUUUGUUGUUCUCACAUAUCUUUAAAUAUUUGUCAUUGUGGGUCUCAGGGGAAGCCCAUGUUUAAGUUGGACAAGAGUUGUACGGAUAAAUCAUUACUGCUAGCAGAUCAUUCAGGACCAUCCACUUCCAUAGUCAGGCUCUAUUACUCACCAGUUCUAGCGCCAGCUGAAGACACCAAGGCACGGCUUCAUGCUGGAAUAUCACUGGAAUCUUUGAAUAUUACUGGAUCUCUGAGUAGUGCCCAGAGCUGCCUAUGGAGCCACAUAGGCCACAGAUUUCUGAAAUUUGAAAACCUUCACAGUUGUGAAUUUUCCAGCUGUUCUGUUUCAUAGAUUUAUUUACCCAUUUUGCAACUCUUCAAAAUUAAACUAAAUAUAAAACUGAUGUGUCACUGCCAAAUCCAAAAUCAAAGCAUUUAUUGUGAAAAUAUCAAGAUUAAACUUUUAAUCUUUGAUUCCUUCCCUCUUGGCUUUUCCAGAUGAGACAAUUAAGGAAAUUCAUUUGAAGUUCCCAUGUACUCUUGCUGCCUUGACUUGUUCAGAGAAUUUACUAUUUAGAAUCAAAAUGGUGUUCCUCCGAAGCAGUGCAAAGCAAUCCUUCCUCUGCAGCCAAGACAUUCUGCAAAACUGAGAGCCAAAAGGGCUCCCAAUAGGCAGUCCACUCUCAUGCUGUCCCACAUAAGCAAUCACAUGUUGCACAUAUUGAAACAUUUGCAGUUCUAAUUGUAGGAGUUUUCAAGUAAACACCUUGAUUUCAUGUUUUAUUUUUUUUUGCGUUGUUGUUUAAAAUUUGAGUUCUCCUUCACAGUGUUGCAAACACAAACACAGCCACGCAGAACAAUACUUCCAUGGAACAGAAUUUGUGUAAUUUGGCUACCCAGACAACUGGGUAAGCCCAAUUACACAAAUGCAAGGAGCUGGAAUCUCUAGGGUCUUCCAUGGGGGGAGAGCCCUGCGUGCGAACGGAUUGGCACUUGUCUUGCUCCAUCCUUUUUUCAUGUGUCAUUCCAGAAAGCAGAACCAGACUACAAACUCAUGCCGUGGCUCCACAGCCAGCUGAGGCCGAGAAGCCUGAGGAGUUUCUUUUAUGCGCCUAGCAUGAGCCUGUAUAUUAAAG
rnacentral:lncRNA from 1 species